rnacentral:rRNA from 1 species
AACGCGAAGAACCUUACCGGUCCUUGACAUGUCCACUAUGGGCCUGAGAGAUCAGGUCCUUCACUUCGGGUGGGUGGAACACAGGUGCUGCAUGGCUGUCGUCAGCUCGUGUCGUGAGAUGUUGGGUUAAGUCCCGCAACGAGCGCAACCCUCGCCCUUAGUUGCCAUCAUUUAGUUGGGCACUCUAAGGGGACUGCCGGUGAUAAGCCGCGAGGAAGGUGGGGAUGACGUCAAGUCCUCAUGGCCCUUACAGGCUGGGCUACACACGUGCUACAAUGGCGGUGACAAUGGGACGCAAUGGGGAGACCCUGCGCAAAUCUCAAAAAGCCGUCUCAGUUCGGAUUGUGCUCUGCAACUCGAGCACAUGAAGUUGGAAUCGCUAGUAAUCGCAGAUCAGCACGCUGCGGUGAAUACGUUCCCGGGCCUUGUACACACCGAGUAUA